rnacentral:rRNA from 1 species
UACGUAGGGUGCGAGCGUUGUCCGGAAUUAUUGGGCGUAAAGGGAGUGUAGGCGGCUUGUUAAGUCUUCUGUGAAAUCUACGGGCUCAGCCUGUAACGUGCAGAGGAAACUGGCGAGCUUGAGUGUCGGAGAGGAUAGGGGAAUACCCGGUGUAGAGGUGAAAUUCGUAGAGAUCGGGUGGAACACCAGUGGCGAAGGCGCCUAUCUGGCUGACAACUGACGCUGAGACUCGAAAGCAUGGGGAGCAAACAGG